rnacentral:rRNA from 1 species
UUCGAUCUCAAAUCAGGUAGGAUUACCCGCUGAACUUAA